GUUGUGCCCCGGGUUGCAAAAACAAAUAACAUUAGAGUUUGUAAUGCACAUUUUGUUCUAGGAAAACCAUUUUAGUACACUGGAGAAACACACCCAGACUGGGCCCCAUCCCUGAAUCUUGACAAAGUGUAUGUUAACGCUAAGUCAGCCAUGGAUAGAGAGUCAAGAAGAGUAAUUUUAAAUGUUCAAGAGGUCUCAAGGCCCUUGUAAGCCUUUAAAUCUUCAUGCAUGUAUGGAGACUUGGAACAUAGCAGGUAAUUUACCAAAUCAAGAUUGGUUACCAGUGGCAUUUUUCCUGCGAUGCUAGGUCCAUUGCACCAAUACUCUUC